AGUGAACGCUGGCGGCAGGCCUAACACAUGCAAGUCGAGCGAACAGAUGAAGUGCUUGCACUUCUGACGUUAGCGGCGAACGGGUGAGUAACACGUAAGGAAUCUACCUAUAAGCGGGGGAUAACAUUCGGAAACGGGUGCUAAUACCGCAUAAUAUCUUCUUCCGCAUGGAAGAAGAUUGAAAGACGGCUCUGCUGUCACUUAUAGAUGACCUUGCGGUGCAUUAGUUAGUUGGUGGGGUAAUGGCCUACCAAGACGAUGAUGCAUAGCCGACCUGAGAGGUGGAUCGGCCACAUUGGGACUGAGAAACGGCCCAAACUCCUACGGGAGGCAGCAGUAGGGAAUCUUCCGCAAUGGGCGAAAGCCUGACGGAGCAAUGCCGCGUGAGUGAAGAAGGCCUUCGGGUCGUAAAACUCUGUUAUAAGAGAAGAACAAAUUGUAGAGUAACUGCUACAGUCUUGACGGUAUCUUAUCAGAAAGCCACGGCUAACUACGUGCCAGCCGCCGCAGUAA
rnacentral:rRNA from 1 species